CGGCGUGGAUAAGACAUGCAAGUCGAACGCUAAUUUGGCUGUAGCAAUACAGUCAAGUAGGAGUGGCGCAAGGGUGAGUAACACGUGGGUAAUUUGCCGCGAAGUUGGGGAUAACUCGCUGAAAGGCGAGCUAAUACAGAAUGUGAAAAUUAGGAGGCAUCUUAUGAUUUUUAAAGUUGGGGACCGCAAGGCCUGACGCUUCAAGAUAAGCCCGCGGCCUAUCAGAUAGUUGGUGAGGUAACGGCUCACCAAGGAUAAGACGGGUAGCUGGUCUGAGAGGACGCCCAGUCACACUGGAAGUGAGACACGGUCCAGACACCUACGGGUGGCAGCAGUAGAGAAUUUUUCUCAAUGGGAGAAAGCCUGAAAGGAGCGACGCCGCGUGGGGGAUGAAGGGCUUCGGCUCGUAAACGCCUGUCAUUUGCGAACAAACCUUACGAUUUAAUAGA
rnacentral:rRNA from 1 species